UUAAGUUCAGCGGGUAGUCCUACCUGAUUUGAGAUCAAACAUUCAAAGGGCUGUCUGUCCUCACCGAGGAGAGACGUCUAUGAGCUCCAGUGAACCUCCACUGCUGAAGGUUACCUGGUGGAAAAACCACAAGCGUAGAUAGUUAUCACACCCAUGAUACCCACCAAACACCGGUAAGCUGAUUUAUUUAGAGGAGCCGA
rnacentral:misc_RNA from 1 species